GACGUAGGGCGCGAGCGUUGUCCGGAUUUAUUGGGCGUAAAGAGCUCGUAGGCGGCUUGUCGCGUCGACUGUGAAAACCCGCGGCUCAACCGCGGGCCUGCAGCCGAUACGGGCAGGCUAGAGUUCGGUAGGGGAGACUGGAAUUCCUGGUGUAGCGGUGAAAUGCGUAGAGAUCCGGAGGAACACCAGUGGCGAAGGCGACACGCUGGGCCGUACCUGACGCUGAUACGCGACAGCAUGGGGAGCGAACGGG
rnacentral:rRNA from 1 species